UAUGGUAAAAUCAUAUAUCUGAAUAUACUGUUGCAAGGUCAUCAUAAAAAAGGAAGUCUGCAUUAUAGGAGACAGGUCGGUAUGCAUGUGUGGCAAGUUCUAAAACAUAACUCCAGCUAGCAUGCAUGCUGAUUUAUCAAUACUGGCAUGUGCAUCUGCUAACCUCUGGGCACGGCGUCUCGGCGGGCGACGAGGGGGUAGCGAAGUCAGGCGUACACGACGCUGGAGGAGCCCAAGCGAAGUCUCCAGCGCAUCCGCCGCCGCUGCUUCAGCACGACCUCCUUGCCGAACCCCACCACACGCUCCAUGGUGACCUUGUUCCGCUCACAGAGAGGGGCGUAAAACACUGAAGGAACUGAUAGCUAUUGGUCAUAGCCUGGUUUCUCCUCCUUGGGGUUGUGGGCACGUGAAGUCUGUGGCCAAGAAUGAAACUAAAAAGAACAGGAGGCUUCCCAGGUGUCCAGGACAAGAUGGGAUGGGGAGCGAUGCGGGGAGCCAGGGAGGGAGCGAGUCACAACGAAAGAGCGAUGGGGAGCAGCGGGAGAGAGGGCGGGCGGACGACACCAGGUUCGACCGGAGAUUCGUAUGGUCCAAGAGCGCGGAGACGACGAUGGGAAUGAAGACUCGCCGUUUUUCAUGGAGGUCGUCGCCCUGUGGAAGCUAUCACCCAAGAGAGUUCUGGAGACAUCGUGUCGUGUGUACUGUGUGGAGUGGAGGCAAUGAAACGACUCGAAGUCGACGAUGUGUUCGCGUGUCCAUUGAUUGCAGAGCGAUGUUUCGAAAAGCAGCAGGGUCACGUGGUUGCAGCGCACAAUAGCAUCAGACCGAAAGAGGUGGUUGCCAUCGGCCA
rnacentral:lncRNA from 1 species